rnacentral:rRNA from 1 species
UUGGAGGGCAAGUCUGGUGCCAGCAGCCGCGGUAAUUCCAGCUCCAAUAGCGUAUAUUAAAGUUGUUGCAGUUAAAAAGCUCGUAGUUGAAUUUCGGGGUUAGUAAAUUGGUCAUGCCUCUGGUAUGUACUGGUUUCACUGAUUCCUCCUUCCUGAUGAUCCGCAAUGCCAUUAAUUUGGUGUUGCGGGGAAUUUGGACUGUUACUUUGAAAAAAUUAGAGUGUUUAAAGCAAGCUAACGCUUGAAUACAUUAGCAUGGAAUAAUGAAAUAGGACGUUCGAUCCUAUUUUGUUGGUUUCUAGGAUUGACGUAAUGAUUAAUAGGGAUAGUUGGGGGCAUUAGUAUUCAAUUGUCAGAGGUGAAAUUCUUGGAUUUAUUGAAGACUAACUACUGCGAAAGCAUUUGCCAAGGAUGUUUUCAUUAAUCAAGAACGAAAGUUAGGGGAUCGAAGACGAUCAGAUACCGUCGUAGUCUUAACCAUAAACUAUGCCGACUAGGGAUCGGAUGAUGUUAAUUUUUUAAUGACUCAUUCGGCGCCUUACGGGAAACCAAAGUGUUUGGGUUC